ACGUGGUAUCCUGUCUGAAUAUGGGGGGACCAUCCUCCAAGGCUAAAUACUCCUGACUGACCGAUAGUGAACCAGUACCGUGAGGGAAAGGCGAAAAGAACCCCGGCGAGGGGAGUGAAAAAGAACCUGAAACCGUGUACGUACAAGCAGUGGGAGCACCCUUUUGGGUGUGACUGCGUACCUUUUGUAUAAUGGGUCAGCGACUUAUAUUCUGUAGCAAGGUUAACCGUAUAGGGGAGCCGGAGGGAAACCGAGUCUUAACCGGGCGUUAAGUUGCAGGGUAUAGACCCGAAACCCGGUGAUCUAGCCAUGGGCAGGUUGAAGGUUGGGUAACACUAACUGGAGGACCGAACCGACUAAUGUUGAAAAAUUAGCGGAUGACCUGUGGCUGGGGGUGAAAGGCCAAUCAAACCGGGAGAUAGCUGGUUCUCCCCGAAAGCUAUUUAGGUAGCGCCUCGUGAAUUCAUCUCCGGGGGUAGAGCACUGUUUCGGCUAGGGGGUCAUCCCGACUUACCAACCCGAUGCAAACUGCGAAUACCGG
rnacentral:rRNA from 1 species